CCCACCCCCUCCCACCACCUUUUUCCCGCUCAGCUGCCCGCAAUCACUGCGAGUCGUCAAUCCGCCUGCUGCUGCACUCACUCGGCACCGCGUGCGCGUUACCGAUCAGCCGUGAGUGGCGGUGAGGAGGAGGAGGCUGACGGUGGUGCCACGCCAGUGAUGGUGAUGUGGUAACUGUUGCGAGUGUUGGCAAUGGCGAUUCGUGAUGGUGCUGUUUGCAUGGAAGCCCCGUCACAACUAAGCGGCGGUGACGACGGUGGUCCACGCGGGACUUGUUGACUGAAAUAGCGGCGGUGGUGGCGGCGGCGGCGGCAGGUGACUGACGAUGUCGAUGAUGACCGCGCGCCUCUUACACGGUGUUAUGAGUCACGGCACAUGCCACUCGUGCAUUUGUCGGAUCGCAGAGUCCGAAAAGUUCCACACGCCUGCGACAAUGGACCCCGUAGUGAGGAUCACAUAAAGGUGAAUAGCAGGCGAGGUGUCAAGGUCAAACCCCAAAUAUCCCCAAUAUCACCCUACGGCUUAUUCACAAGGGUCGGGUGGGGGGGCAUCAAUUGAGGCAGAGUGGAGGGCAGGGGCGUGAAAUGAAUAAAACAACGUGGGGCAGAGCCAAAUUCUUCUUGCCCUGGCACGAUAAUCCACUUGCGUCACAUUGUUUUGCACAACUUGCACAAUCACAACAAAGAUUUGGAUCGUUUGCAAACAUCAAAUUAGUCGAUUAGAAUUACAAACAGCAGCGAUCAUUGCCCAUACCUGGCAGACGAAUGCUCGCUUUCAGGCCAAGUUUCUGAGUCACCUGUGCCACAUAGGGACAGCUGUCACUGGGGGUGCCCUUUCAGAAGUGUUGAGAUGGGAUGCAAGUGGCUUGUCGCGUGUAAAAGCACUAUCAAGGUUCGUUCAGGAGUUAAGGUCGCCGUAUCUGACACAACUCUCUUCUACAUUGUUGUCAAUGUUAUGUCUUGUAUGCAUUUAACGUGAAACGGGCAUCUGGUCCUCAAGGGUGACCAGCCUGCCUGCCGGUCAACACGCAGCAGACGUCCGCGUCUCUCUCGCUCGUUCUCCCAGGGCCCCGACUCUCGCUCUUCAGUGCCCCCCACCCACGUCCGCGUGAGUGAGACCCAAAUCCCAGGCAGGGGCACCAAACAACAGCAGCAACACCGCCACUACUUCCCGCGCUCGGUGGCACGGAGGACACGCGGCCGGCACAAGUGACCUUGCCGAUGUGCGUGCGACACUCGCAACAUCCCGCGCGCAUCAACAGGGAGCAAGCAGCAGCUGCUGCUGCUCGUUGCUGUUCACUGCCACAGUGGCGGUGUCGUGGGCUGAUGGCACUGCACUCGCACUCCAAAGGUCGCCGGUUACAUCCCAGCCACCUCCCAAUCUCCUGGCGCGGCACUUGCAACAAUCCGGCGUCUGUCUCAAUGGAGAGACUCCUCCCCGCCAUAUUAAUGUGGAACUGCCAGGAGGAGUUGGGCACCAAUGACUGCUGCCUCGGUGCCCCUUUGGGCAGGAGGCCACCAUUGGCUGUGCGUGGGAUCAGAGCCUUUCGUGUGCGAUUGCUGAGCUCAGUCUGAACGAGCUCAAAAUCAGCGUCAGGAGGCAAUAAUUAAGAGUGCGUACAGUUGAUCAUCGAUCGAUUAUUAUCCGGCUGCUUCCAACAUUGUUUGGCGGUUCUGGGCCGAUCCGGCGAAAGCGGCAAAACCGCUUCAAAGGCUGUAACCAGUCCGACGAUCGGCCCCGUGUGCGUGACAAAAAUAUCUACGCUUGGUUUCAGUGUUAAAUAUUUUUACAGUACAUUAUGCACUACAUACGACAAUGUAAACAAUGAAAAUAAUGCACAUAUAUACAUUUUUCAUGACAAAUAGCUACAGUAAUACAAACAGAAAAUAUCCAGUGCGAUCCGGAGAAAAGUUCGCCGGAGCAGCGGUCUAAAGGCUGCACCAGUCCGGCGAUCAUCAACACAUCAUGAUGUUGUUGAAACAAGAGCGGAGUGCUACGUACAUCACCCCAUGAUGUAGUCUUCGAGACUGGAGUGGUAAGUACGGUACAAUAAAUACAGUUACUAUUUUGACAGGAGAAUAUUUACUUUUGUCUAAUUGUGUGUCUAUGCCAGUUUCACAUAGUAAACAAAUGUAAAACACUAAAAAUAUAUAUAAACAACGCCUAAAAACAGAACGUUAUUCAAGAAUGUGCAAAAAUGAUAUAUUUUAAAUAAUGACGUGUUUAUCCGGCGAAGCCUGCCGGAUAAUUGAUGAUCUGUGCAGUGAGUACAGGAGGGAAAGGGGCAGCCCUGUAACUGCUCGCUCACGCCACUGCAGGCAGAAGGGCCUUCGUCGACCCUCCUAGGUGUUACCGGACCGUUUUGGAAGAGGGCUCUCGUCGCCACCUUCACACCCACGUGGCGGGCCGGGCGAGAUGAGCUCACAGCGUGGCCUCACGUCCACGGCACACGCGGAGGAGGUGGAAGAGGUGGAGGAUAAGCUGGAGGAGGUGAUGGAGGAGGAGGUGGAGCAGGAGUGAGCGGUGUAGCCUGCACCAUGCCCGACCGGCUUUGAAUCCCCCAUGCUGAUGUUUAUACACUGCGCCGGAUAAUCAUUUAAGGCUGAGUCGACCUAAGGGAGGUCCAGUUCAGAUAUCACUUUCCAAUGAUGUAAGCUGGUAAAUAAACUCAAGCCACUGGGUUCGUAGUGCAGUGGACUAACCUCUGCGCCACCGCUCCCCCUGCGGCACUGCUUAUGUGUAAAAAUAAAAAUGGUUUCCUGCUUAAAUGAGCACUGAGGCAUUGAUAUUCAACUCCUGUUUGCAGGCCUGCUGAGCCAGUGGUGGAAAUUCCCCAUUCCCAAUGGUGUGGGCUAAGCAAAUUGACUUCUCCACAAAGCCGUGCUCAUUCUGUCUACCCUGAGCCAGGAUUCCCCUCCCCGCCCCCCCCCCCCCCGUGGAUCGUUCACCACCGAACAUCGAGGCGGCAGUGUGGACCGGGCCUGGCACAGGCACCGGUGGUGGAUCCAGCGGGGGGAGGGGUGGCAUUGAGGUGAUCACCCCCCAUCGCCCCCCCCCCGAUCUGUGCCUCUGAGUGGGGGCCCAGGGCGACUCUUGUGUUGUGUGUAGACGUGAGUGAGAGUGCGCCUGCAUAGCACGGCAGGAUGUAAUGCACCUGCCUUGUAUACUCAGUGUCGGGUUCCCUCUGUGGAAAUGAACAACCUUUGUGAUGCCGGGACAAGCAGCAGAAUACACUCAGUCACCCAGAGGAGACAGAGUCUCUGCUGAGUCACCCAGAGGAGAGAGUCUACAUUGAGUCACCCAGAGGAGAGAGUCUGCUGAGUCACUCAGAGGAGAGAGUCUCUGCUGAGUCACCCAGAGGAGAGAGUCUCUGCUGAGUCACCCAGAGGAGAGAGUCUCUGCUGAGUCACCCAGAGGAGAGAGUCUAUACUGAGUCAUCCAGAGGAGAGAGUCUAUACUGAGUCAUCCAGAGGAGAGAGUCUCUACUCAGUCACCCAGAGGAGACAGAGUCUCUGCUGAGUCACCCAGAGGAGAGAGUCUCUGCUGAGUCACCCAGAGGAGAGAGUCUGCUGAGUCAUCCAGAGGAGAGAGUCUACUGAGUCACCCAGAGGAGAGAGUCUCUUCUGAGUCACCCAGAGGAGAGAGUCUCUACUGAGUCACCCAGAGGAGAGAGUCUCUGCUGAGUCACCCAGAGGAGAGACUCUGCUGAGUCACCCAGAGGAGAGAGUCUACACUGAGUCACCCAGAGCAGAGAGUCUCUGCUGAGUCACCCAGAGGAGAGAGUCUACACUGAGUCACCCAGAGGAGAGAAUCUAUGCUGAGUCACCCAGAGGAGAGAGUCUCUACUGAGUCACCCAGAGGGGAGAGUCUCUGCUGAGUCACCCAGAGGAGAGAGUCUCUGCUGAGUCACCCAGAGGGGAGAGUCUACACUGAGUCACCCAGAGGAGAGAGUCUACACUGAGUCAUCCAGAGGAGAGAGUCUAUACUGAGUCACCCAGACCCCGCAAUUUUCAUAUUCGGGCUCUAUGACACAUUCUACCACUUUUGAUUCAUGACAUUGCCAACCCGGGGCGUCUUGACAAAAACAAUAGCACGCUGCAGGGUGCACAACAUUCUGUGGCACGUGGUCGUGACGGGUACUGCAAGAUCCCACCGUGUUCGUCCAGUGCUCGCUGAGCUGCAUCGGCUUCUGGUUGCCAAACGAAUACAUUGUAAGGUCGCACUCAAUACACUCAAAAAUACCUUGCUGAUCUCGUCAAAGAGCAUACAUCGUCAGGCGAACUGCGGUCAUCCUCGCAGCGGCUUUUGGAUAUCCAUCGAAGAAAGACGGCCACUGCAUCGCUUGCUUUCAGAUGCACUUCUGCG